CAGUAGCGUAUAUUAAAGUUGUUGCAGUUAAAAAGCUCGUAGUUGGAUUUCUGCUUGUAGCGUUGGGCCCGCCGGGGUUACCCGUGUGAGUGCCUGUUCGCUCCUUGCAUCCUUCUAGAGAACGGCUCUCUCCUUCAUUGGUUGUGGGGUCGCAAUCUAGAUCUUUUACUUUGAAAAAUUAGAGUGUUUAAAGCAGGCUUGUGCUAUGAAUACAUUAGCAUGGAAUAAUAAUUUAGGACUUUAGUUCUAUUUUGUUGGUUUCUAGGACUGAAGUAAUGAUUGAUAGGGAUAGUUGGGGGUGCUAGUAUUCAGCGGCCAGAGGUGAAAUUCUUGGAUUCGCUGAAGACUAACUUAUGCGAAAGCAUUCACCAAGGAUGUUUUCAUUAAUCAAGAACGAAAGUUGGGGGCUCGAAGACGAUUAGAUACCAU
rnacentral:rRNA from 1 species